rnacentral:rRNA from 1 species
UACGUAGGUGACCAGCGUUGUCCGGAUUUACUGGGCGUAAAGAGCGCGCAGGCGGUCGUUCAAGUCGAGUGUGAAAGCCCCCGGCUCAACUGGGGAGGGUCAUUCGAUACUGAUCGACUGGAAGGCAGGAGAGGGAAGCGGAAUUCCCGGUGUAGUGGUGAAAUGCGUAGAUAUCGGGAGGAACACCAGUGGCGAAGGCGGCUUCCUGGCCUGUUCUUGACGCUGAGGCGGCGAAAAGCUGAGGGGAGCAA